UACGUAGGAUGCAAGCGUUGUCCGGAUUUAUUGGGCGUAAAGAGCGUGUAGGCGGUUCGGUAGGUCCGUUGUGAAAACUCGAGGCUCAACCUCGAGACGCCGAUGGAAACCCCCGAACUAGAGUCCGGAAGAGGAGAGUGGAAUUCCUGGUGUAGCGGUGAAAUGCGCAGAUAUCAGGAAGAACACCCGUGGCUAAGGCGGCUCUCUAGUACGGUACUGACGCUGAGACGCGAAAGCGUGGGGAGCGAACAGG
rnacentral:rRNA from 1 species